UACGGAGGGAGCUAGCGUUGUUCGGAAAUACUGGGCGUAAAGCGCACGUAGGCGGCGCAGCAAGUCAGGGGUGAAAUCCCGGGGCUCAACCCCGGAACUGCCCUUGAAACUGCAGUGCUAGAAUCUUGGAGAGGCGAGUGGAAUUCCGAGUGUAGAGGUGAAAUUCGUAGAUAUUAGGAAGAACACCGGUGGCGAAGGCGGCCCACUGGAUCGGUACUGACGCUGAGGUGCGAAAGCGUGGGGAGCAAACAGG
rnacentral:rRNA from 1 species